GUGGGGAAUAUUGGGCAAUGGGCGCAAGCCUGACCCAGCAACGCCGCGUGAAGGAAGAAGGCUUUCGGGUUGUAAACUUCUUUUACCAGGGACGAAACAAAUGACGGUACCUGGUGAAUAAGCCACGGCUAACUACGUGCCAGCAGCCGCGGUAAUACGUAGGUGGCGACCGUUAUCCGGAUUUAUUGGGUGUAAAGGGCGUGUAGGCGGGACAGCAAGUCAGAUGUGAAAACCAGAGGCUCAACCUCUGGCCUGCAUUUGAAACUGUUGUUCUUGAGUGUCGGAGAUGUAAUCGGAAUUCCGUGUGUAGCGGUGAAAUGCGUAGAUAUACGGAGGAACACCAGUGGCGAAGGCGGAUUACUGGACGAUAACUGACGCUGAGGCGCGAAAGCGUGGGGAGCAAACAGGAUUAGAAACCCGAGUAGUCC
rnacentral:rRNA from 1 species